AGGACUCAUCCACAGUCUAAACAAAUAUAUGCAAUCCUCACAGAAUUGAUUCGACGAAUUAAAGUUCUUGGAUAUGUUCCAGAGACUAGCUUUGCUCUCCAUGAUGUGGAUGAUGAAGAGAAAGGUGAUCUUCUUUUUGAACACAGUGAGAAGUUGGCUCUUGCCUAUGGCAUUCUAACAUCAGCUCCAGGCGCACCCAUCAGGAUUACCAAGAAUUUGCGUGUAUGUGGUGAUUGCCACAGCGCC
rnacentral:misc_RNA from 1 species